rnacentral:tRNA from 1 species
GUCCCCGUAGCUCAGUGGAUAGAGCGCCAGAUUGCGGAUCUGGAGGCCGGAGGUUCAAGUCCUCUCGGGGAUACCA